UCCGUCUCCACACCUCAGACCACCCUGCCCUUCAUCCCGUAAAUUGUGCCCCAAGCCCUGAAGACAGAUCUGAGGGCACAUGCCCCGUCUCCUCGCAGAUUGGUCUCGCAAUAUACAGCUACAUUUCUUCUCCCAAAAGCUGAUGACAUAAUAAUUGGCUUUUUUUAUGCACAAUGGGCAAGAGAAUCCCAAUUUUGUGUGGUAACACUACUACUCAGGAAUAAAAAAGUAAUGGACUAAUGAAACAUGGAGCAACACAAACAUCCAAAACGUACAGUGAGUAAAAGAUGCCAGAAACACACAUACAUACAUUAUUAUUUCAUUUAUAUGAAGAUUUAGAACAUCCAAAACUAUCUCAAGUGAUAGAAAUCACAUCAUUGUCUGCCUGGGACAGAGGUCUGUGCGGGAACUUAGUGCAAAGUGGCACAAAGCACUGAGGUGGUGGGUACCUUCUAUAUUAAUUGAGGUGUUAGUUACACAGGUAUAUCAUCUGUUAAAACACAUCAAAUGACGUGUGCAUUUUAUUAAAUGUAAAUUAUAUUUCAAUAAAGUUGAUUAAAAAAUAAAGUUGAAGAAAACAGCAGAAAAAAUGCCACCAAAGAAAUUUUUAGAUAUACUGAGAUGUGUAUCAAAAUUAAUAACUAUAUCUUAUUUCCAAAACUACAUAGAUCCAGACAGUAAACUGAAGAAAGAAUCAUUGACCAUGUACUGUCUACCAUUCAUUCACUGUGCGAGGCACUGUCAAGUCAAAAUCUAAUUGUCAGAUGAUCAGUGUUUCUUAUCACUUCUUACAGUCCAGAUAAAAUGUGUACAAAAUUCACUGAGGGGGUAUGACUACUAAAGGACAACAUUAUUCACUGAUAUGAUGAAAUUAUUAGGGAUAGUUUUCUGUUAUUUCUAUACAGCAUCUGUUGGAACUGUGAAAGUGAUGGUAAAAUGAUGAAAAUCAAGACAGCAGAAGAAAAGAGGUGGUUAAACUCAUGCCAUUUAGGACUGCCACACUGUAUAACUCACUCAAGUUGCUAAGAUUUUAUUGAACUGUAUCUCCAUAUUUUAAUACUAUAAAAUAUUAGAUGGGAAACUCUGAGGAGCCCUGAUUUAGGAUGGGGGAAGGAAAAAAAAAAAUUAGUUCUUCAAGUUUUAAGAAAAUUCUAAUAAUCCAAAGCUCCAUGAACUUUUCUUUCUCUUUUGCCCAAAUCUCAUAUCGCGACAGUUCUGUCUGAGCUUGAAUGGCAAAUUUUAAAUGUCAUUCAGGACCAAUUGAAUACCACUUGUAUUUGCAUUCCUUAAAAAGUGGAAAAACAUUAACCUUUUGUUUUAUUGAAUUAAAAUGCCACGGAAAUGCUGAUGUAGUCUUGGGAGACUGGAAUACUUUCACAAAGAAGAAUAGCUGUCAUUUAUUAAACACAAAGAACAAUUACUUGAUAGGAUGCCUUCUGACAAAAAGCAGAUUGGUAUUCUCAUCAUAGAAAAGGCAUUAUAAAAAAAAAUCUAGCCAAGACCUCUGAGACUUGAAUAAUUUAAAGCUGCAUUUGGUGCAAUUUGAAUUUUUCUUUAGGGAGGCAAAGUUAAAUACCUUUAAUUUGUUCUAAUUAUUUCAAAUUUGCAAGUUAAUUAUGGCUGAUCAUUAAAUAACAAAAAGGACUAUCGUCUCCAUAGAGUUUUACCUCCUACCCUCUGCAUUACUUAAGCUAGAUUUUAGUAUGCAUGAAUUAACUUUCUAAAUAAUCACACGGUUUGACUAAAUGGCUCAGUAAAAUGAGCUCUGAUCCUCAGAAUAAGCAUUAAUGGACAUUAGAAAUGCUAUUGGGACUCAUGUUACUUACAUUAUAAGUAUUUUUAAUAGGGCCUUAUUUACUAAUCUUUAUGUACUGUUCGAGUUAGAAUACCAUACAGAUACAUUAUUCUGCUUUACUGGAGGAAAAGUCCAAUCUUUGAGACAAUAAAAACAAAUGUCCAUUUAACACCAAAUAAAUUCAUUUUGAAAUUAAUGAAGGGAUAUGACGAUGGAUUUUAACUUGUUUUAGCUGUUCGUCUCAAUGAAUCAAUCUAGCAAAAAUGGUCUGCUUGGUCUGUAAAUGGAAUAUUAUGGAUCCACUGAUGCUAAGUGAUUCAAGCAGCAAAAGGAGGUCCAAUGAGCCAGUAUUUAAAUUCCACCAGCUACUUCGAAGAAAGAAUUCAUUGUUUCUUGUGUUGUGAGAAUUUCUAGUUACCAUUUAUGUGCAUACUUGGCUACCAACAAAUGUGAAGCCAGAUGGCAUAUAACCCUACUGCUUAGAACUCUUAAAAACAGUUUUCCUAAAUGUCCCCACUAAAUCUUCAUAUUCCUCAGGGAUGGACCUAUUAAUGAACAAAAUAUUCUAAGACCAAAGAGUUUAAAGAACAAAAUUUCAAAAACAAAAUCUCCAUAUGCUGUCAGAACUUUCUAUUUUCCCACUCCAAAAUCAUCAAUACAAAUUUUAUUUUCACAUAUCCAAUAAACAUUAUCUGAGAGCCUACUAGGUGUCAGUUCUGUGUUUGGGCAUGGGAAUACACAAAGGAACAAGUGAUUACCUUUGAAUAUGUACAAGUAAACAAGAAGAGAGAGCCAGCUCGACAAUGAAUACAUAAUGUGGCAGGUGUUAUGAUGGCAGUAUACCACCAUAGGCAUAAGGGCGAGAGGGAGCUGAUAAAUAUGACAGGAAGCUUGCAAGAAAGGAACGGGGAAUCAUAAGAGGAUGAGGUAAAAAAAAAAAAAAAUCACUAAAAAGGAAUGAUAAUUUACUAGCAUACACUAUGUAAAAGACACUGGCAUGGUUCCUGGCUCCAAAAGAUGUGGCCAUCCUAGUAAAGAAUUUACUUAUGGGAAUAUGCCAAAUCCCUUAGGUGUGCUGGGUAGCAUAAAGGUCUCUGGAAGACAACAGGUACUUCAGAGGCAGAAAAGAUAUAAUUUAGAUGUGCUUGGCAUAGGAAAGAGAGGAGUCUGACCCUGAGGAGUAGCUAGAGCAGCACAGUAGUUUAGAAUAUUAGCUUUAGUGUCAGACACAACUGGGUACUGGAUAGCUAAUUAUAAGUUCUGAUAGAUGUGAUUUCUCAAGCGAGUUACUUAACCUCUCUGGGCCUCAUUUCCUCAUUUAUAAAGUGAAGUUAAUAAUAGUAUGUAACUCAUAAGGUUGUUGUGAGGAUGAAAUGAAUUAACAUAUGUACGAUAUGCAAAGGGAUGCCUAGCUCAUAAAUACUACCUAAGUGUUAGCUUCCAUUAUUAUCAUUAUUCUUAUUACUACUAAGUGAGGCAACAUUUAAAAGACUUAGAGCAAUAUCUAGUACACAGUAGGUAUUCAAUAAGUUAUUACAGACUAGCUGAAUAGGCAGAUGGCAUAAUUGCUGAGAAUUAUAGAGAAAGAGUAGGUCAUUGGGUUGGGGGAGUGGGUAACUGAAUUGGAUCUGAAAACCUUGAAUUUGAGGGACCUAUAAAUCAUUUGGGCUAGAUAAUGUUAUCAUACAGUUAUAAGAAUAGGUUUGGACGUCAGGAGGGAAAAGCUGAUACCUGAGAUAAAGAUUUUAGAGUUAUCGUCAUUGAGAUAUGAUCUAAAUUCAUGGGAAUGAAUUAAAUUUCCCACAGAGAGAAGUCUAUUGAUAUCUAAACAGUAGGUAGAGGCAAAGGAAGCAGUAAAAUACUUUGCAGGGAGGGGAAGCAAAAGCCAACAGGGCCAGAAUCUCCGACAGGGAGACAAGCAGAGAGAGAAAAAAGGAUAGUGUCAAAAAAACAAGGAAAUGAAAGAGAUAUCAGAAAGGUUAGCUGGCUAUUGACAAGUCAAGUAAGAUGAAGGCUGAAAAAAAGUACAAAGAUUUGGGAAUUGGGAGGAUGCUUAUGACCAUGGGGAACACAGUUUUAGUUGAGUGAUACAUAGGUGAGGAAUAAAUGGAAGUGAGGAAGUGGAAGCAGAGAUGUAGAUUGUGCUCUCAAGAAGUUUGGAAAAAAGAAUGGAAAGAUAGGGCAGUGUUGCAAUAGUAAGGCAAAGAUGAAGGUAUUUCUUUUUUUUUUUUUUAAGGAGAAGGAUCUUCGAGCAUGUAGAAAAUGAGCCUGAAGACGUAUGACAAGAGGUAUUGAUGCAGCGAAAUUGCUAGGAAAAUAGGAAGGGAAUGUGACUGAGGCACUGACGCAGGAGACUUUGGAUUUGAGAUCCCUCUGGGAACGCUAAGCAAUGGCACCUGAUGGGCACUUUAAAAUGCGAACUCUGGAGAGGUCAGUGCUUCACACAAGGAUGUGACCCUCACCAUACAAUUAGAGACUAGGGCAGACCUCAUUUUUAGUGAUGGUACACUUUACACUUGAAGAUGUCACCAGAUCUUAAUUUGCUCCCUCACCAAAGGGAAUGUAGCUAGAAUUUCAUUAAUUAUAAUAUCUUUAUUUUAAUUCUUCCCACAAGAAAAAGCAACAGAGUUAAGAAAAAGAGAAUGGGAAUGAAGCUGUGCUAAAUAAAACACUGUGCUGUAGGCAUCACCAAAUCCCUAAUUUGAGGGAUUUGCUCUGAUUCCAGAAAUGCCUUCAGAAUUUCUCUAUGGUAUCCAACAAGGAAAAUAGCUCUUUAAGUCAAUUAAUGUAUAUUUAAAUGUAGAAUGUGUACUUUUUUUUAACUUUUUAAAAGUAUGUAAGAGAAGGUUAACAUUUGGGAAGAUGAAAAUGUCAGUUUAAUAUAAACUAAGAGAUGCAGGUAUAAACAAAACUACGAAGAUUGUCCACUACACAAUCAGUUUCCUAAGAGCAGAUACCACGCCCCACUCUUCUCUGAAUCUCUAACAAUGCCUUCCAAGGGGAUGUACACAGAAAAGAGGCCCAACAUACAUCUACUGAAGAGAUGAUUAUAAUUUGGAAAGCAUUUGUGGGAUUAAAACAACAGGACACUGAGUUAGUUAACUGUUAUCUCUUCCUUGCAUUGUAGACCAAUCACAGUCAUUCCUAGAUUGAUAAUCUAUAUUUUAAUUUCAUCAGAGCAUGCACUUAUGAAGAUUCAAAAAUCAGGCACAAGAUGAGAAAGACAGUAUGAGGACAUGUUUAUAGUAUGCUAAAAAACAGCUUGCAAACAAAACGUCAAUACGAAAUUUUAGAAUCAAGGCCAAUCCAAUCCAAGUUACCAAAGACCUAUAAAUUAAUUGGAAAUGUUGAAAAACCUAAUGGUGGUCAGUUAAGGACUGCGAUUGAAAAUCUCCCUGAAGAAAACCAAGGUCCAACUGUGAAUCAAAACACAACCAGAGCGUUACUCUGAUACAAGCCCUACAAGCAUGGGUAUCACGACUCUCUAAUUUUUGCCAAUAUGAAGAAUGAGAAGUGACAGCUGACUGCUUUUUCCUUGAAGAGUAAGAAGUCAGUCACAUUUCCAGAGAAGUUUGAAGACGUUACAGAGAGAUCUCAUAUACCCUUCAUCGAGCUUCCCCUAAAGGUAACAUUUCACAAUACUAUGGUACUUUUAUUAAAACUAAGAAAACAGCAUUGGUACAUUACUACUAACUAAUCUCUAGACUAUUAGGAUUUCAUCAGUUUUUAUACUUAUGCCUUUGUUGUUGUUCCAGGAUCCAUUCCACAUGGCAUUUAGUCAUCAUGCCUCCUUAGUUUCCUAUGAUCUGUGACAGUUGCUCAGUCUUUCCUUGUCUUUCACGAUCUUACCUGACCAGUUUUGAGAACUAGCCAGGUAUUUUGUAUAACGUUCCUCAAUUUGUAUUUGUCUGUUGUUUCUCCUGUGUUUAGUAGAACGUUACGAGUGUUUGGGAAGAAUACUGCAGAAGUGACAUUCCCUCCUUAUCACAUUGUGUCAGGGGUUACAUGACACCAACAGGACUAAUCACUGGUGACAUUAACCUUGGUCAUUUGAAUAAGGUAGUGUUCACCAGAUUUUUCGACCAUCAAGUAUGAUUUCCCCCCUUUCCAUAUCCUAUUCCUUGAAUGUCAGUCACCAAGUCCAGCUCACACUCAAGGGGCUUGACGAUUAAGCUCUACCUCCAGGAGGGGAAAGUAUUUACUAAUGUUAUUUGGAAUUCUCCUAAGGAUUAUUGGUCCCUUCUCUCUCAUUUAUUUAUUCAUUCAAUCAUUUACUUAUAUCAGUAUAGACUCAACUACUCUUAUUUGAUACUUUGGGUUAGAGUCCAGUAUCACACUAUUUAUUUUGUUGCUCAAAUUGUUCCAGCUUAGGCCAUUGGAAGCUCUUUUAGGUUGGCUCCUCUGUCUCUUUGACAUUCCCUCAUCCUUUUGAUUUUUGAGCAUGUCCUUGCUUUCUGGCUCACAGCUCAUCUUUCAUUCUCUUUGUCCCAUCACUAUAAUUAGCCAUUUCUCUAAGGAGUCCUGGUUUCUUUUACUGGG